AGAGAGAGAGAGAGAAGGAAAGGGAGAGAGAGGAAAAUAGAGAGAGAAGGAUCGUGACUACCGUCAAUCGGCAGUCGAGAGAGAAGAGGAGGUCUGCGAAGUGGCUCAAGGCAUGUUCGGCUGUUCUGCGGCUCCCUUCGGUACGAUUCCACCAUAUUUAUGUCGGAUUUGAGGGCGCGAAGCACUCUGCGGUGAAUUUUGACCAAUCCGCAAUGGCGAUCAACAGUGAGCAGCGGCAACCGACGGUGGGCAGCGCCAGCGCGUGGUGGUCCAGUGGCAGCACGUGUGGCG
rnacentral:lncRNA from 1 species